rnacentral:rRNA from 1 species
UACGUAGGGGGCAAGCGUUGUCCGGAUUCAUUGGGCGUAAAGAGCGUGUAGGCGGCCAGUUAGGUCAGCUGUGAAAACUCGAGGCUCAACCUCGAGACGUCGGCUGAAACCAUCUGGCUAGAGUCCGGAAGAGGAGAGUGGAAUUCCUGGUGUAGCGGUGAAAUGCGCAGAUAUCAGGAAGAACACCCGUGGCGAAGGCGGCUCUCUGGGACGGUACUGACGCUGAGACGCGAAAGCGUGGGGAGCGAACAGG